GCCUGGCACCGGUUCCCGUCCUCGCGCCUGGCAGCCCCACUGGGCUCCCCUGGCCAGGCCUCCCGGGCCUUCCCCGCCGAGAAGCCGGCAGAGGCGGCGCGAGAGACGUGGCCACGCUGCCCCCCAGUGGCCGACCUGUCUCACAGCAGCCAAAGGACAGUCACAUCUGGACGGAGCAGCUUUGCUGGGCAGUGGGGAGAGGACAGCACAGUGUCGUCGCCUGCCCGUCGGGGCACCCCACAGUGCAUGAGGAUCCAGCCACUUGUCCAGUGGCACAUGUGGCGGGCUGCAGAGGGCUGAGCCCGCCCUGUGCUGCCCUCCUCUCCCAUGUACCUCAGAAGGCAGUAGGUGGAACGCACCAUCCCUGCCCCAGCCCCAGCCCCAGCCCCACUGCACCUGCCGACUCACCCGAUGCCACCCUGCUGUCCCUGGGGCAGCUGUUGGGGUGGGCCAGGCUGGCACAUGGCAGCCAGGAGUUCUAGUGUGC
rnacentral:lncRNA from 1 species